GAUGAACGCUGGCGGCGUGCCUAACACAUGCAAGUCGAACGGAAAGACGGGGCCUUUGUGCGGUUGGCGAGUGGCGAACGGGUGAGUAACACAUGAGUACACGGCCCUUAACUGUUGGUUAACCUCAGGAAACCGGGGCAAUAACCCAUUAGGACCUCCUGCUGCAGGGGGGGAGUUGGAAAGUUUCGGCUGUUGGGUAUGCACUCGCGGGGUAUGAGCUUGUUGGUGGGGUAGGGGCCUACCAAGGCGAUGAUGGGUAGCCGGAGUGAGAGGGUGAUCGGCCACACUGGAACUGAGACACGGACCAGACUCCUACGGGAGGCAGCAGUGGGGAAUGGGGGGCAAUGGGGGAAAGCCUGACGCAGCAAUGCCGCGUGUGUGAAGAAGGCCUUCGGUUCGUAAAGACCUCUUGUGGGGAAAGAACAGCUUUGGCCUGAGACGAGCCGGGAGUGACGGUACCGGAUGAAGAAGCACCGGCUAACUACGUG
rnacentral:rRNA from 1 species